AGAUUUGAAAUGAAGAAUAGGAGUUGAGAACAAGGGAUGGAGAUUGGAAAUGAGGAAUAGGAGUUGAGAACAAGGGAUGGAGAUUGGAAAUGAGGAAUAGCAGUUGAGAACAAGGGAUGGAGAUUAGAAAUGAGGAAUAGGAGUUGGGAACAAGGGAUGGAGAUUGGAAAUGAGGAAUAGCAGUUGAGAACAAGGGAUGGAGAUUGGAAAUGAGGAAUAGCAGUUGAGAACAAGGGAUGGAGAUUGGAAAUGAGGAAUAGCAGUUGAGAACAAGGGAUGGAGAUUGGAAAUGAGGAAUAGCAGUUGAGAACAAGGGAUGGAGAUUGGAAAUGA
rnacentral:lncRNA from 1 species